CCCUUAGAUGCUCUGGGCCGCACGCGCGCUACACUGGUCGAUGCAACGAGUUUCUUUCCUUGGCCGACAGGCCUGGGCAAUCUUUGAACAUCGAUCGUGAUCGGGAUAGAUUCUUGUAAUUUUUGAUCUUAAACGAGGAAUUCCUAGUAAACGCAAGUCAUCAGCUUGCAUUGAUUACGUCCCUGCCCUUUGUACACACCGCCCGUCGCACCUACCGAUUGAAUGGUCCGGUGAAAUCUCCGGACUGGCGUGAGUCGGAGCAAUCUGACAAACGCCGGAAAGUUGAUUAAACCUUACCAUUUAGAGGAAGGUGAAGUCGUNACA
rnacentral:rRNA from 1 species